rnacentral:sRNA from 5 species
AUAUCUCUCUGUACGGGAAGGAUGAGAAGCUUCGACUAAGGUUCGAUUCGAGCGUCAGCGAGAAAGCGUUGCCGCAGG